rnacentral:lncRNA from 1 species
UUUUAAUCUAUUUUAACAUGAAUAUAACCCUUAUUUCAACCCUAAAACAUAUCAUCAACCUCCUUUAAACUUUAAAACCCUCUUCAACCCUUUCAAAAACUUCAAAUCCUUAAACCCUAAAAUCCCCUUUUCACAACUAAAACCAACUCAUUCUUGAUAAUUGUAGGAACCAAGACAAACCAUUCACGAUACGACAUCUCUACGAG